rnacentral:rRNA from 1 species
GAUGAACGCUAGCGGCAGGCUUAACACAUGCAAGUCGAGGGGUAGAGGAAGCUUGCUUCCUUGAGACUGGCGCACGGGUGCGUAACGCGUAUGCAAUCUACCUUAUACAGGGGGAUAGCCCAGAGAAAUUUGGAUUAAUACCCCAUAGUAUAAUUGAAUGGCAUCAUUUAAUUAUUAAAGUUCCAACGGUAUAAAGAUGAGCAUGCGUCCCAUUAGCUAGUUGGUGUGGUAACGGCACACCAAGGCGACGAUGGGUAGGGGUCCUGAGAGGAGAUCCCCACACUGGUACUGAGACACGGACCAGACUCCUACGGGAGGCAGCAGUGAGGAAUAUUGGUCAAUGGGCGCAAAGCCUGAACCAGCCAUGCCGCGUGCAGGAAGUGACGGUCCUAUGGAUUGUAAACUAGCUUUUGUUACAGGAAAGAAACAACUCCCUCGUGAGGGAGCUUGACGGUAC